rnacentral:rRNA from 1 species
CCUACGGGCGGCAGCAGUGGGGAAUAUUGCACAAUGGGGGGAACCCUGAUGCAGCGAAGCCGCGUGAGUGAAGAAGUAUUUCAGUAUGUAACGCUCUAUCAGCAGGGAAGCAAAUGACGGUACCUGACUAAGCAGCCCCGGGUAACUACGUGCCAGCAGCCGCGGUAAUACGUCGGGGGCAAGCGUUAUCCGGAUUUACUGGGUGUAAAGGGAGCGUAGACGGCAGAGCAAGUCUGAAGGGAAAGCCCGCGGCCCACAUGCGGGACUGCUUUUGAAACUGCCCGGCUAGAGUGCUAGAGAGGUAAGCGGAAUGCCUGGUGUAGCGGUGAAAUGCGUAGAUAUUAGGAGGAACACCAGUGGCGAAGGCAGCUUACUGGACAGUAACUGACGUUGAGGCUCGAAAGCGUGGGGAGCAAACAGGAUUAGAUACCCCUGUAGUC